AUACAAAAUAUACUAUUAAUUUAAUUUGUUCAUACAUGCCACAAAACUAAAUGUUACUCACUCCAUCCCAAAUUGUAAGUCAUUCCAAGAAUCUUGGAGAGUCAAAGCAUUUUCACGUUUGACCAAAAUUAUAGAGAAAAAUACUAAGAUUUGUAACGUAAAGUGAGUAUAUUAUGAAAAUAUAAUUAAGAAAGAAUCUAAUGGUAUUUAGUUAGUCUUCUUAUUUUUGAUAGCUAGUCUUCUUAUUUUUUUUACGACCGUACAGAUUGGAUAGUCAAUGCGUUCUUGUACCAGCUUGACCUGGAGUUGAUCCCCCGUGGGGGAUGAGGUUUGGAG
rnacentral:lncRNA from 1 species